rnacentral:rRNA from 1 species
UACGAGUGCCUCAAGCGUUGUUCGGAUUCAUUGGGCGUAAAGGGUGCGUAGGCGGCGCGGUAAGUCGGGGUGUGAAAUCUCGGAGCUUAACUCCGAAACUGCAUUCGAUACUGCCGUGCUUGAGGACUGGAGAGGAGACUGGAAUUUACGGUGUAGCGGUGAAAUGCGUAGAUAUCGUAAGGAAGACCAGUGGCGAAGGCGGGUCUCUGGACAGUUCCUGACGCUGAGGCACGAAGGUCAGGGGAGCAAACGGG